GCCGGCGUGUUGGAAUUGGCAGACAAGGCAGACUCAAAAUCUGUUGGUGUGUGAGCACCGUGCGGGUUCGACCCCCGCCGCCGGCA
rnacentral:tRNA from 1 species